UAUAAACUGAAAUUUUUCUUGUUUGCCACUUGAAAAUUAAGAACGUGUGUGUGUGCGUGCGCACGCGUGUGCAUGAGGGUGUAACGGCACUGAAGGACUGUGGCCAGAACAUGCAGCAAUGAAGAAAGGUCAGUGUUUCACUAUGCUGUCUUUAAGAAAAGAAAACUCGAACUCACUUUGGCAUGAAGGGGUCCUUCGGGAGGAGCCUCGCGGUGUGGAAAGGGUGGUAUUUCUAGGCAGUGUUUCCAAACGUGCAGUCGGGUAGAUGACUUUAUGUGGCACAUGAACAAGCACUUUUAUUUGAAUAAUUCCGUAUUUAUUUUUGCCAGCCCUCCGCCCCUCCCUGCACACUCGCGCGAUGGUACCGCUGUCUGCCUGGGGCUGCCGGUUUUGUUCACAGCAUCUAUGGGGCCCCUCAGGCCCCGCAGGUCACCGCUCGCCCUCCCGCUUCUCUGCAGGGUCUUUUCCACCUUACCGCCCCGCCCCGCCCCGCAGGAGCUCCUCCCGUGCCCCCUGCAACUCACGAGUCAGCGGCUGAAACUCGGUCUGAAGAACCCAGCCCACGAAGCAAAGCCACUCCCUGAUGUCGCUGUGCAGAACGAGACAUUCAUCGCAGAGGACCUGUACCUCCACACAAUGCAUCUUCAUUCCUUUCCCCCUCCCCUCCCCCUUCCUUCCCCUCCCCAUUUACCAAAGCUUUACUGCCAUUUUCUCCUCCCAUUCUUUUGUUUAAAUCCCUUUCCCUUCCCCCUCCCUCUUCCUCCUCCUCCUUCCCAUUUACACAGUUUUUCCCACUUCCCAAUCCGUGUCUGUCCUCCAUUUGCUCUUUACUUACCCUCUGGCUUUCUCACACAAGAGAAACAAUGUUAC
rnacentral:lncRNA from 1 species